rnacentral:rRNA from 1 species
GACGAACGCUGGCGGCGUGCUUAACACAUGCAAGUCGAACGGAAAGGCCCUUCUGGUGGUGGUUGCUCGAGGGGCGAGCGGGUGAGUAACACGUGAGUAGCCUUCCCUUUACGGUGGGAUAACUUCAGGAGACUGGGGCUAAGACCGGAUAUGAUCGCCGGCUGCAGGGGGUUGGUUGGAAAGGUUGGGCGGUUGGGGAUGAACUCGCGGCUUGUCAGCUUGUGGGUGGGGGAGUGGCUUACAAAGUCUUUGACGGGUAGCCGGCCUGGGAGGGUGACCGGCACCAUUGGGCCUAGGAUACGCCCAAGCUUCCACGGGGAGGAAGAAGUGGGGAUAAUUGAACAAUGGGCGGAAGCCUGAUGAAGAACCCCGGCGUGCGGGAUGCCGCCUUCCGGGUUGAAACCCCCUUCAGCAGGUGCCGAACCGUGAGUGACGGUACCGGGUAAAGAAGCACCGGCUAACUACGUG